AAGGUACAACUCUUCCCUGAGAACUCUGUAACAUUCAACUUGAAACAGGAACAUUCACAAGACAGAGGGCUUUACUGUAUUGCUCGCACAUUCCAGCGUUCUCCAACUGAAGAUUCGGGGAAUCAAUCCAUCGCUGAUAUUAAAAUCAAUCCGAAUGCUCCUGAUGCUAUCCUGCCUGCUGAAGGAAGAAGUCGCUGUACAUGCUACACAAGUGACGGGGUAGCUGUUGUGUGUGACCAAUGCAUGGUAAGAUGAUACGAUCCGAUUCCCACAUAAAAGUAGGUUUCACUAGAAAGUUGGCAUUUCAUGGAAAUGCAACUCCUUACAAUAUCUUUUAGUCUCUCAGCCUUCUGAUACGUAUCAUGCAAGAAGUAGACUAGAAGCAAAAACAAACAUACAAACCGUGCAAAUCCCAUUUAGAAUGUAGACCUUACGCGUAACUGUCAUCUUAGAGUAGACGCCUUUGUUUUGCCUGGAUAUUCAUGAGCGAUCAUUUUGAGCAGUCACGCCUACUAAUAGAUACCAUUCUAAGAUGACUGGCCGCUACGCGUAAGGUAUAUAUUUUAGACCCUGGCCGCUUAAUGUGCAUUAAGAUGCCUUAGAAACUGCUCAAAAAUUGGGCUACCUUAUCUGUGAGAAGGAAUUUUCCUCGAAUGGUUGUAAUU